rnacentral:lncRNA from 1 species
GAGAACCUUGACGAAUUCGGCGCGUUAAGGGUCAUCAACACGAUCCCAUCGACAAAGAAGAAGCAGAAUGGGCCUCUUGCGUGGCCUAUGGCAUCAGCCGGUCUCUGGGCUUCUGGGCCAGUAAAUUGGAGAGAGGCCUGGGCUUUGACUUGCAGAGAGAUUGGGCUCUGGGAGCCGCUUGUAGUAUUUUGGCUAAAGGGGUUGC